rnacentral:tRNA from 1 species
GCCUGGGUGGCUCAGUUGGUUGAGCAUCUGACUUCGGCUCAGGUCAUGAUCUCAUGGUUCGUGGUUUCAGGCCCCACGUCGGGCU